AACGAACGCUGGCGGCAGGCUUAACACAUGCAAGUCGAGCGCCCCGCAAGGGGAGCGGCAGACGGGUGAGUAACACGUGGGGAUCUGCCUAAUGGUACGGAAUAGCUCCGGGAAACUGGAAAUAAUACCGUAUGUGCCCGCAAGGGGAAAGAUUUAUCGCCAUUGGAUGAACCCGCGUCGGAUUAGCUAGUUGGUGAGGUAAAGGCUCACCAAGGCGACGAUCUGUAGCUGGUCUGAGAGGACGACCAGCCACACUGGGACUGAGACACGGCCCAGACUCCUACGGGAGGCAGCAGUGGGGAAUAUUGGACAAUGGGCGCAAGCCUGAUCCAGCCAUGCCGCGUGAGUGAUGAAGGUCUUAGGAUUGUAAAGCUCUUUCACCGGUGAAGAUAAUGACGGUAACCGGAGAAGAAGCCCCGGCUAACUUCGUGCCAGCAGCCGCCGUAACAC
rnacentral:rRNA from 1 species